UGAAGCGUUAAAUUUAAUCAAGCUAGCUUAUUUGUGGCGUGUCUGUCCGCAGCAAGUAAGUGAAUUUAAAGACUAGACUAAGCAUGUAGUGCCGCGGAUGUAGAAAUUUCGGACGCGGGUUCAACUCCCGCCAGCUCCACCA
rnacentral:tmRNA from 1 species